AGUGGUGUGAUCUUGGCUCACUGCAACCUUCGCCUCCCAGGUUCAAGCAAUUCUCCUGCCUCAGUUUCCCAAGUAGCUGGGACUACAGGUGGGUUUUACAAAUAUAAGUCACAUGUUAACACCCAAGGGUCGAGUGUAUGCUGAGUUGACUGUUUCUCACCAAUCUCCUGGGGAGUUUCUUUUAAUUACUGGCUCUGGAUCAGAACUUCAUGAUCUUAGAUGGAUUGAAGAAGAAGCAGUCAAAGGUGGAUAUGAUGUUGAAAUUAAAAACAUAACCGAUGAGCUUGGAGUUCUUGGAGUUGCUGGGCCACAGGCAAGAAAGGUCCUUCAGAAACUGACCUCUGAAGAUCUUAGUGAUGAUGUUUUCAAGUUUCUUCAAACCAAGUCCUUAAAGGUUUCCAACAUUCCUGUCACUGCUAUUAGGAUAUCUUAUACUGGUGAGCUGGGUUGGGAGCUGUAUCACAGAAGAGAAGAUUCUGUGGCGCUGUAUGACGCUAUCAUGAAUGCAGGCCAAGAGGAGGGAAUCGACAAUUUUGGAACCUAUGCCAUGAAUGCCUUACGCCUGGAGAAAGCCUUCAGAGCC
rnacentral:sRNA from 1 species